CGUGCUUAACACAUGCAAGUCGAACGAUGAAGGAAGAAGCUUGCUUCUUCUGGAUUAGUGGCGAACGGGUGAGUAACACGUGAGCAAUCUGCCCUUGACUCUGGGAUAAGCGUUGGAAACGACGUCUAAUACCGGAUACGACCCUCGGAGGCAUCUCCUGGGGGUGGAAAGAAUUUUGGUCAAGGAUGAGCUCGCGGCCUAUCAGCUAGUUGGUGAGGUAAUGGCUCACCAAGGCGACGACGGGUAGCCGGCCUGAGAGGGUGACCGGCCACACUGGGACUGAGACACGGCCCAGACUCCUACGGGAGGCAGCAGUGGGGAAUAUUGCACAAUGGGCGAAAGCCUGAUGCAGCAACGCCGCGUGAGGGAUGACGGCCUUCGGGUUGUAAACCUCUUUUAGUAGGGAAGAAGCGAAAGUGACGGUACCUGCAGAAAAAGCACCGGCUAACUACGUGCCAGCAGCCGCGGUAAUACGUAGGGUGCAAGCGUUGUCCGGAAUUAUUGGGCGUAAAGAGCUCGUAGGCGGUUUGUCGCGUCUGCUGUGAAAUCUGGGGGCUCAACCCCCAGCCUGCAGUGGGUACGGGCAGACUAGAGUGCGGUAGGGGAGAUUGGAAUUCCUGGUGUAGCGGUGGAAUGCGCAGAUAUCAGGAGGAACACCGAUGGCGAAGGCAGAUCUCUGGGCCGUAACUGACGCUGAGGAGCGAAAGCAUGGGGAGCGAACAGGAUUAGAUACCCUGGUAGUCCAUGCCGUAAACGUUGGGAACUAGAUGUG
rnacentral:rRNA from 1 species